GUUAAACCCCCUUCGGCAGAACAUAUACUAAAAUUGGAACUAUACAGAGAAGAUUAGCACGGCCCCUG
rnacentral:snRNA from 1 species